GGGCGUAUAGCUCAGCGGGAGAGCACCGUCUUCACACGGCGGGGGUCCCUGGUUCAAUCCCAGGUGCGCCCACCA
rnacentral:tRNA from 1 species